UACGUAGGGUGCAAGCGUUAAUCGGAAUUACUGGGCGUAAAGCGUGCGCAGGCGGUUGUGCAAGACAGAUGUGAAAUCCCCGGGCUCAACCUGGGAACUGCAUUUGUGACUGCACGGCUGGAGUGCGGCAGAGGGGGAUGGAAUUCCGCGUGUAGCAGUGAAAUGCGUAGAUAUGCGGAGGAACACCGAUGGCGAAGGCAAUCCCCUGGGCCUGCACUGACGCUCAUGCACGAAAGCGUGGGGAGCGAACAGG
rnacentral:rRNA from 1 species